GGGGAAUAUUGCACAAUGGGCGAAAGCCUGAUCCAGCCAUGCCGCGUGCGGGAUGAAGGCCUUCGGGUUGUAAACCGCUUUUGUCAGAGACGAAAAGGGACGUACGAAUAAUACGUUCCGCUGACGGUAUCCGAAGAAUAAGCACCGGCUAACUACGUGCCAGCAGCCGCGGUAAUACGUAGGGUGCAAGCGUUAAUCGGAAUUACUGGGCGUAAAGGGUGCGCAGGCGGCUGUGCAAGACAGAUGUGAAAUCCCCGGGCUUAACCUGGGAACUGCAUUUGUGACUGCACGGCUAGAGUUUGUCAGAGGAGGGUGGAAUUCCGCGUGUAGCAGUGAAAUGCGUAGAUAUGCGGAAGAACACCAAUGGCGAAGGCAGCCCUCUGGGACAUGACUGACGCUCAUGCACGAAAGCGUGGGGAGCAAAC
rnacentral:rRNA from 1 species